GCAUAGCUUUCUCCCAGAAGAGCUUGGAUCAUGUGUUCCACUCGUUCUAUGAUUUGGGGCAGGGUGGGGGAGGGGUGACGCGGUGACUGUUGAGUAUACAACAGAAGAUAAACUAGUGCAGACUGCGUCUGUCUGCAACAAGAAGCUGCAGGAGUCGAAUGAUGGUCGCGUAUAGCUUGCUUUAAGCUCAAGAAACAUUCAAGAUUGAUUGUAAUUCUAGCCAUUCUUAAUUUCAUUUUCUGAUUUUUAUUCAAUUUGAAUAUCCAUAUAUGCCUUGUAUAAUUCACAUAUCAAGAUAUCAUAGUGUUUGUCACGAAAUUAGAUGCCAAUGAAUUUUCCAAUAAUUUUAUAUGCUUAUCAAAGUAGGCUCUUUUUUCUUAGAAAGAUGUUGGAACUGUAACAAAAGAUGGUGACAGUUUUCUAGAAAAGUUCACUGUAUUAUCUUGAUGCCGUGUGAAACUAUUUUUGUGGCCUUUCCGUGUCCUUUCGCUGCUCUUUCAUUAGUUCAUAUUUCGAUGUCGACAAAGAAGAAAGCAAGUUUACAGUGAUAGACUACACCAAGCUUCCUCUAAGUUUCCUGGAAAUGCCAAGACUUAGUGGGAACUGGGUUGAAGCAAAAUCAUCCGAAUAAUUAGUUGUCGGUUUUGUUUUAGCUUUGUUAUGAUUUUUCUGUUGAACCUAACACAGCAGAAACUGUUGUUGGUUUUGUUUUAGAAAGGGUAGCUGAUGUACUUGCUAAAAUCGAACUUCCCAAGGAUGUUCGCCCCCAAAUGCAGGUGUUGAGAUACAAGCUCAAGCUGAUGCAGUGCUUCUUAAAAAUGCCGACGCAAAGCAUGAAGAUGAUCUGCAGGUGCACAAUUGGGUUUCUGAUAUCAGAAACGCUGCUUAUGACGCUGAAGACCUCAUCGACACAUACAUUCUCAAGAUCGAGGCCUACAAGAGAUGGGAAUUUGUUAAGAGAUACGUGUUCACUCUCAAGGCGCUUACUCUCAAGGUGCGCUCCAAGAUUGGGAAAGGUCUUGCAGCUAUCCGCACAAGAAUCUCUGAUAUUUCCAUCAGCCGCGAAGCAUAUGGCAUUAAAACAAUUGGAGAGGGAGCAAAUUGAUGCAGCAGGAACUCGAAGAAAGAAGAUGGAAAUUAAGAAACACAAACUACCAAGCUCUGUUUAGUCUAUGAAUACCCGGAACAAAGGCAAAUGUCUGUUGAAUUCUCGGAAUGCCCAGACUAAGAGUAAGAAGAGAGAGAACUCUUCGUUUUGAAUUUUGAUUCAUGACAUCAACUGAGAGACGAGAUACAAAACCAACCGUUACCACAAGAAUCCCCACCAAAUCUCAAUCAGUCGAUCUUGUAUCAUUCUUGUCUUAACAACAAUCCUAUGGAAAGAAACUGAAAUUCUCUGCCAACGGUUUGCUCCAAGUCGAGCUUUUGGAGCUGGAAUUAUUGGAAAAUUUUGGAAGAGUUAGAAGUUGAAGAAAGUGCAAUGCCAAAGUUUAGAAGUUUGCAAAUCACCAACCAUAAGUGGUUACGGAAGCUCCCUAAAGGUAUGAAGUAUGUAACUGCUCUCCAAGUGUUGGAGCUCAAAGGGAUGUCAGGAAGAGUCGUAGAUCAUCCGCAAGGACAAUACCAUCACAAAAUCCAUCAUGUUCCCUCUAUCAUAAAGUCGUGAUCGUCCUGCAAUCUGCUGGCACCAGUUUGAAUCAUGCGUUCCGCUCGCGUGUUAAGGCGAGGAGGGAAGAUGAGGAAACAUUCGACAAGAACAAACUUUGUACUUGUACGUUCAAACUUGUUAAGGUCAAUGUUCUGCUGUAGCAAAGCAAUGUUGAUCAUUUGAUGCUUAGCUUAGUUUCCACUGUUCUUGUUAAGUCCAAUAUUUUCACCAAAAACACUCACAUCUAAACGAACUCUAUGUUGAGAGAGCUUAUCCUUUUGGACUCACUUCCAAAGUUCCAAGUUGCCAACUCAACUAGGCACUAGCCAGCCCUUACCCGGGAAAGUCUCUUGUUUCCUUUCCUUAAUCUUACCACAAUGACAAGAUUGGGGUUAAUUGCUUCUUAAUUUCAAUUAGUUUUAAGGGGAAACUUGAUAUAAGUCCAAUUUUUUGAGCCAAUUGUAGGAAUAGUCCAGUUUAUUAAAAUAAGUCCAAUUUGUUAUAUUUAAUUA